UGCACUCACUACUGUAAGUCGCUCUGGAUAAGAGCGUCUGCUCAAUUACUAAAA
rfam:Salmo salar isolate Sally breed double haploid chromosome ssa01, whole genome shotgun sequence.